UGCGUAGGCGGGCUAAUAAGUCAGUGGUGAAAUCUUCCGGCUCAACCGGGAAACUGCCGUUGAUACUGUUAGCCUUGAGUUAGGUUGAGGUAGGCGGAAUGUGUAAUGUAGCGGUGAAAUGCUUAGAUAUUACACAGAACACCAAUUGCGUAGGCAGCUUACUGGACCUACACUGACGCUGAGGCACGAAAGCGUGGGGAGCGAACAGGAUUAGAUACCCUGGUAGUCC
rnacentral:rRNA from 1 species